UAUCUGUGAAACAGGAGCCGUGAUGGAGAGCGGGGACUGUGGAGAUAUUGCAAAAGGUGGCAACUUACCAUAAACCAUCUAGCGAAAGCGAAAGAAAGUUGCUGAU
rnacentral:ncRNA from 12 species